rnacentral:misc_RNA from 1 species
AAAAACGGGGAGGCGUGCUCUCGUUUCUCUUGGAGUCGGGACACGCUUCCUUUUAGUAUCCAAAUUCUUUAUUUUUGUUUCGGAAUCCGGCGAUUACAUGCUAGAUUCACAAAUCCAAUCUAAACA